GCACUGGUGGGUCAGUGGUAGACUUCUCGCCUACCAUGUAGAAGACCUAGGUUCGAUUCCUGACCAAUGCA
rnacentral:tRNA from 1 species